GAUGAACGCUGGCGGCGUGCCUAACACAUGCAAGUCGAACGAAGCGCUUUGAAGUUUUCGGACAGAUGAGUGACUGAGUGGCGGACGGGUGAGUAACGCGUAGGUAACCUGCCUCAGACAGGGGGAUAACAGUUAGAAAUGACUGCUAAUACCGCAUAAGCACACAGUACCGCAUGGUACAGUGUGAAAAACUCCGGUGGUAUGAGAUGGACCGGCGUCUGAUUAGCUCGUUGGUGAGGUAAGGGCCCACCAAGGCGACGAUAAGUAGCCGACCUGAGAGGGUGACCGGCCACAUUUGGACUGAGACACGGCCCAAACUCCUACGGGAGGCAGCAGUGGGGAAUAUUGCACAAUGGGGGAAACCCUGAUGCAGCGACGCCGCGUGAGUGAAGAAGUAUUUCGGUAUGUAAAGCUCUAUCAGCAGGGAAGAAAAUGACGGUACCUGACUAAGAAGCCCCGGCUAACUACGUGCCAGCAGCCGCGGUAAGAC
rnacentral:rRNA from 1 species